rnacentral:rRNA from 1 species
GCAGGCUGCAACUCGCCUGCAUGAAGUCGGAAUUGCUAGUAAUCGCGGAUCAGCAUGCCGCGGUGAAUACGUUCCCGGGCCUUGUACACACCGCCCGUCACACCAUGGGAGUCGGUAACACCCGAAGUCCGUAGCCUAACCGCAAGGGGGGCGCGGCCGAAGGUGGGUUCGAUAAUUGGGGUGAAGUCGUAACAAGGUACC